CGAGGAUGAAGCCGAGAGGAUACUGCAGAGGUCUCUGGUGCAUGUGUGUAUGUGUGCGUUUGUGUGUGUUUGUGUGUCUGUGUGUUCUGCCCCAGUGAGACUGCAGCCCUUGUAAAUACUUUGACACCUUUUGCAAGAAGGAAUCUGAACAAUUGCAACUGAAGGCACAUUGUUAUCAUCUCGUCUUUGGGUGAUGCUGUUCCUCACUGCAGAUGGAUAAUUUUCCUUUUAAUCAGAACAGCAUAAGAAUUAUUUCUGAGUGGAGGUGAGGCUUGUCCAAAUGUCUUUGCUAUCAUGGAUUUCCUGACUCCUACCUG
rnacentral:lncRNA from 1 species